rnacentral:misc_RNA from 1 species
GAUGAAGAACGCAGUGAAAUGCGAUAGGUAAUGUGAAUUGCAGAAUUCAGUGAAUCAUCGAAUCUUUGAACGCACAUUGCGCCCGCCAGCAUUCUGGCGGGCAUGCCUGUUCGAGCGUCAUUUCAACCCUCGACCUCCCUUUGGGGAAGUCGGCGUUGGGGACCGGCAGCACACCGCCGGCCCUGAAAUGGAGUGGCGGCCCGUCCGCGGCGACCUCUGCGUAGUAAUCCAACUCGCACCGGAACCCCGACGCGGCCACGCCGUAAAACACCCAACUUCUGAACGUUGACCUCGAAUCAGGUAGGACUACCCGCUGAACUUAAGCAUAUCAAUAAGCGGAGGA